rnacentral:rRNA from 1 species
ACGGGUGAGUAACGCGUGGGAACAUACCCUUCGGUUCGGAAUAACUUGAGGAAACUUGAGCUAAUACCGGAUACGUCCAGGAGCGAUUCUGGGGAAAGAUUUAUCGUCGAAGGAUUGGCCCGCGUCUGAUUAGCUAGUUGGUGAGGUAACGGCUCACCAAGGCGACGAUCAGUAGCUGGUCUGAGAGGAUGAUCAGCCACAUUGGGACUGAGACACGGCCCAA